GGAGCACUGCUUCCACAGACACGACCCGGGAGUCCGAGUCCCACAUCCAGAUCACCCAGCUCGAUUAACACGGAUUAAUAAAAGGGCCACCUGCAGGGAGGAACAUGGAGCCGGCUGCCCGCGCUGAGACCAAGGCUGCAGACAAGACACGGAUCAGUGUGUUUCAGGGGAAUGCACAAUGAUGUCACAGACAGGAAAAGGUUGGAAAGGACUUGGCACCUUUUGGAAUUGGCUGGAUCCCCAUUGGCUCAGCAGAAACGCUGGAAUAAUAAACAGGCAAUCUGAAGGCAACGAGCGCCGCUGACUCUUCACACAUGGUGUCAGGAGCCACUUGGUCAGAUGACAAAGACAAUGACAUCAACAACAACAGUAACGACAUGAAAAACAAGCUCACAUGCUUGUUAUAUGCAUGUAAGAAGCUAUUAGAUAUUAGAUUCAUGGUUUGUUUAGUUCUUAAAAAAUACAUGUUUUUUUUAUGAGCAUUUUGUAUUUUUUCCGAUUUCACAGAGAACUUCUCUAAGUCUGAAAAGUGAGAACUUCAUGUUUGAUAGCCUGAGCAGUUAAAAUAGUUAUAAAUUAUAAGAAUGAAGUCGGUGUUGAGAGCCCAGUGAUAAUCUUAGUUUAAGUCAACAUAAACCUCUUCUUAUCUCCUAUCUCCAUGUCAUCAGGGUGCCGGCUUUGUUCUGCACAACAGAACAACGGCUGUUUGCGACCUCAGUGCUAAAUCAAGUUCAAAGAGGAUGGCUCGUGUUUGACAGAUAGUUUUUCAUAAGGGCAGUGGGAGAACAGUGUUUGGUCAACCUCUGGCUCCCUCUUUGAUUCGCAGCUCUCUGUGACCCCUGGAAGAGCGCCACCACUUAAGGCCCUUCAUUCAGCCACGCUGGUCCGGCUGAUAAGAUCUGGGUGAUAACUGACUCGACUUACACAAUAUCCCUGCCUGUUAUAUUCACAGUGGCACAACAAGAACAUCCUUUAUAGAGAAGUGACACUUCCAUAAAAGACAGAAAUCAGAUUAUAUAAAUGUUGUAUGAAACAGUAAAUGUGAGUGCUUGGAUUCCUGAAUAGUUGGACCGCAUAAGUCUAUCACUAGGACACACAUUUUAUUACCUUCAUCACUACCUACUAUUUUGAGAAUAUGAAAAAUAAUAAAUUUGUGGUUAGACUAACUGAUUAGAUCUUUUGCUUGUGUUUCUUAAUUUGGUCUGUUUGAGAGUUUAAUUAAAUGUUUACCUGCAACAUCACCAACUGCAUGAUGGCAUUAAAUCAUCUUGUGCAUGAGUUCAGCUGUUGACAUGUGUUUCUUUUGUAUGUAUUCAUCCAAAGUAAAUAAAAAAGGAAAUAAACUUUAAAUCUCU